rnacentral:rRNA from 1 species
AAUAGAUACCCUGGUAGUCCACGCCGUAAACGAUGUCGACUUGGAGGUUGUUCCCUUGAGGAGUGGCUUCCGGAGCUAACGCGUUAAGUCGACCGCCUGGGGAGUACGGCCGCAAGGUUAAAACUCAAAUGAAUUGACGGGGGCCCGCACAAGCGGUGGAGCAUGUGGUUUAAUUCGAUGCAACGCGAAGAACCUUACCUGGUCUUGACAUCCACAGAAUUCUGCAGAGAUGCGGAAGUGCCUUCGGGAACUGUGAGACAGGUGCUGCAUGGCUGUCGUCAGCUCGUGUUGUGAAAUGUUGGGUUAAGUCCCGCAACGAGCGCAACCCUUAUCCUUUGUUGCCAGCGGCUAGGCCGGGAACUCAAAGGAGACUGCCAGUGAUAAACUGGAGGAAGUGGGGAUGACGUCAAGUCAUCAUGGCCCUUAGACCAGGGCUACACACGUGCUACAAUGGCAUAUACAAAGAGAAGCGACCUCGCGAGAGCAAGCGGACCUCAUAAAGUAUGUCGUAGUCCGGAUCGG